UUAACCUACGGGACGCAGCAGUAGGGAUUCUUCCACAAUGGGCGAAAGCCUGAUGGAGCAACGCCGCGUGGGUGAAGAAGGUCUUCGGACCGUAAAACCCUGUUGUUAGAGAAGAAAGUGCGUGAGAGUAACUGUUCACGUUUCGACGGUAUCUAACCAGAAAGCCACGGCUAACUACGUGCCAGCAGCCGCGGUAAUACGUAGGUGGCAAGCGUUAUCCGGAUUUAUUGGGCGUAAAGGGAACGCAGGCGGGCUUUUAAGCCUGAUGUG
rnacentral:rRNA from 1 species